rnacentral:rRNA from 1 species
UACGUAGGGGGCAAGCGUUAUCCGGAUUUACUGGGUGUAAAGGGAGCGUAGACGGUUAUGCAAGUCUGAAGUGAAAGCCCAAGGCUCAACCAUGGGACUGCUUUGGAAACUGUAAAACUGGAGUGCAGGAGAGGUAAGCGGAAUUCCUAGUGUAGCGGUGAAAUGCGUAGAUAUUAGGUGGAACACCAGUGGCGAAGGCGGCUUACUGGACUGUAACUGACGUUGAGGCUCGAAGGCGUGGGGAGCAAACAGG